AUUGAACGCUGGCGGCAUGCUUUACACAUGCAAGUCGAACGGUAACAGGCCGCAAGGUGCUGACGAGUGGCGAACGGGUGAGUAAUGCAUCGGAACGUGCCCAGUCGUGGGGGAUAACGCAGCGAAAGCUGCGCUAAUACCGCAUACGACCUAUGGAUGAAAGCGGGGGACCGUAAGGCCUCGCGCGAUUGGAGCGGCCGAUGUCAGAUUAGGUAGUUGGUGGGGUAAAGGCUCACCAAGCCAACGAUCUGUAGCUGGUCUGAGAGGACGACCAGGCACACUGGGACUGAGAAACGGCCCAGACUCCGACGGGAGGCAGCAGUGGGGAAUUUUAGACAAUGGGCGCAAGCCUGAUCCAGCAAUGCCGCGUGCAGGAAGAAGGCCUUCGGGUUGUAAACUGCUUUUGUACGGAACGAAACGGUCCUGGUUAAUACCCGGGGCUAAUGACGGUACCGUAAGAAUAAGCACCGGCUAACUACGUGCCAGCCGCCGCCGUAAAAC
rnacentral:rRNA from 1 species